rnacentral:rRNA from 1 species
GACAGAGGGUGCAAGCGUUGUUCGGAAUCAUUGGGCGUAAAGCGCACGUAGGCGGCUUCGUAAGUUGGGUGUGAAAGCCCACGGCUCAACCGUGGAAGUGCAUUCAAAACUGCGUAGCUUGAAUCUCGGAGAGGGUGGUGGAAUUCCCAGUGUAGAGGUGAAAUUCGUAGAGAUUGGGAGGAACACCGGUGGCGAAGGCGACCGCCUGGCCGAAGAUUGACGCUGAGGUGCGAAAGCGUGGGGAGCAAACAGG